CUACAAAGAGGGUAUGACCAGACCCGGUCCCAAGUGGACAAAAAGGCUGUUGUCCUCAGGGUACAGGAUGAGCUGGCGACCAUUCAUCGGAGGAGGCUUACCGAACUGGCCAUCGUUAAGAAGUGGUCAGAUCUCAAAAGGAGGAACAUAGAUCUGAUCACUAAGAUUAGAGCCCGGAAGUGCCUAGGAGCUCCACUACCCUCUGUAAGGAGAAGGAGAGAAGCAGAGGAGGUAGUGGAGUUGGAGUAGGAAGAGGAGGACGAGGAUGAUAAAGAACAUGAUGGUGAGGUGGCCAGUCCAUCACAUCGGUCACCACCAGCUUCACCACGUAAAGUGGGGGAUGACAGAGGAAGUUCCCUACUGCCCCCGCCAGGAGGUUUUAGCAGAAAUAGAAAAGGAGAUGACCCGAAUUCAGCAGGACCAAAAUGCUGAACUUGCUAAAAUACAAAGGUAACAAAGGAGGAUGAUGGAGCAACAAAGGAGGAUCCUGCAGCAACAGCGCCUUCUGGAUGGCGAUAUAAGGAGGAUGGAGGAGAGGCAACCAAAUAGGAUGCAGAAGCUUGCGGACCUCCAUAAAAAAUUAAAGGAGUUGCCUUAGAGGCG